rnacentral:rRNA from 1 species
ACAACUCUCAACAACGGAUAUCUUGGCUCCCGUAACGAUGAAGAACGCAGCGAAAUGCGAUACGUAGUGUGAAUUGCAGAAUUCCGUGAACCAUCGAAUCUUUGAACGCAAAUUGCGCUUGAGGCUUCGGCCAAGAGCAUGUCUGGCUCAGCGUCGGCUU